AUGGCUGCCACCAACGUCCCAGUCUCUGGGGAGGUCCCACCUCCCACUGGCAUGCACUCAGAGACCACCAGAAAAGCUGUAACCAGUGUGGUAACUCUGGCCAAGAAAUUUGGAGAAGGGACUAAGCUCGUGGUAACUCCCUCUGAUGCACGCCUUCCUGCAGACAUUUCUCCCAAGCCCACCAUUUUUCUUCCUUCAAUUGCUGAAAUAAACUUCCAUAAGGCUGGAACAUAUCUUUGUCUUCUUCAGAAAUUCUUCCCCGAGGUUAUUAAGGUAUUUUGGAAGGAAAAGAAUGGCAAUACAAUCCUGCCAUCCCAGCAGGGAAAUACCAUGAAGACUGAUAACACUUACAUGAAAUUCAGCUGGCUGACCGUGACUGGAAAGUCAAUGGAUAAAGAACAUAAAUGCAUCGUCCAACACGAGAAUAAUAAAGGAGGGGUUGACCAAGAGAUUCUUUUUCCAUCAGUGAAUGAAGUUGACGUUGCUCCUGAUUCUCCAACAGCUUCCCCAACAGAGCAAAGUAACGUCACUGCUGUUACUUCUAGAAGAGCUUGUCUGAAAGAUGAAAACCCCCUGCAGCUCACCAGCACCUUGGCCUAUUACAGCUACCUCCUGCUCCUCCUCGUGAGCGCAGUCUACUUUGUCAUCAUCACCAUCUGUCUGUGCAGGAGAACAGCCGUCUCUGGCAAUGGAAAGAAUUCAUAACAGAUGGGGGGACAAAGAAGUCAACUUUUGUUCAUCAUUUAUUGUCCCUAGAAGUGUCUACUGCGAAUCUACCUUGGCUUUCUCUCUGGGUUUGGGUUAUUCCAGUUCAAAAGUGUGCUUUGCUGUUAUGCCAUUAUUGUGUAAUGGUUUUUCAAAACGCUGGGCAAAUAGAAAUUUUUUUCUAUAACAGCAAUGAACUCUGCCAUUACUCAGGGGCAGGGCCAUGGGGUCGUCCUUUAGCACCACUCUCUCCAUGACCUCCAUCAGCUCCUCCAGCAAACUGAAUGACCAUGCCUUCUGAGUACAGACAACAUGCAACUCUACUCACAUCCCUUAGGGCCAUUUAACCAGAUGACCACCUUGGAGCCUUCCAUUUUACACACGCAGAAGUCACCAUCAUUGUCACUUGAAUUCUAUACUUCGUUUUUCAUAAUGGGCACAAUAAAAAAAAGGAAAACUCUA